rnacentral:rRNA from 1 species
UACGGAGGGGGCUAGCGUUGUUCGGAAUUACUGGGCGUAAAGCGCACGUAGGCGGCUUUGUAAGUUAGAGGUGAAAGCCCGGGGCUCAACUCCGGAAUUGCCUUUAAGACUGCAUCGCUAGAAUUGUGGAGAGGUAAGUGGAAUUCCGAGUGUAGAGGUGAAAUUCGUAGAUAUUCGGAGGAACACCGGUGGCGAAGGCGGCUUCCUGGACACUUACUGACGCUGAGACGCGAAAGCGUGGGGAGCAAACAGG